rnacentral:lncRNA from 1 species
CGAGGCUUUACUAUAGGAUUUCACAGCAAAGCAUAGUCUGGUUUGGGCUGAUUGCUGCCACACUAGCUGCUUGAAAUGGGCAUGGAAGUUGUCUGCUGUUCAGAAAGACUGAAAUGAUAACCGGGUCGUAGGAGCGCAAACCUUUAACUCCAGCACUCAGGAGGCAGAGGCAGGUGGAUCUCUGAGUUGGAGGCCAACCAGGACUACAGGGUGAGUUCCAGGACAGCCAGGGUUUUACACGGAGAAAUCCUGUCUCAACAAAGAAAAACCAAAGCAAACCAAACCUGAAAAGAAAUCAUGGAAUGAUAAGGAGGGUGAUUGAGAGUCGUUGGCAAUCAGUGUGAGAGAAGGAGGAGCACCAUGAGUCAGGACCAGUGGAGACUAUGUCGGAGCCAGACCUGAGCCCAGAGCCCGGAUGUGGGUGAGUGAAGACAAGGCAUACCUCGGUGUGACCACUUUCCAGAAUUCAGGUAUGUCCACAGUAUGAAUAACAUCCUUUCUGACUCCCAAAACGUUCAUCACGAAACAGGAAAACCCAGAUAUAGCGAUUUGAGAGAAUAAUUUUGAUAAAAGCACAGAAGAAGAGAGUGCUGGAUUAUGGAACUUCAAAGAGAACUCAGCUUGCAAUCACAAUUUCAAAGCCUCUCAACGGAAAGAGAAGAAAUUGCACUGGCCAGCACUGGGGAGAGGUACUCGGGACACAGAAAGGCUCACCCACCACGCUCCCAGCCUGUGGCUGUCCCCAGCAGCUCUGGCCUGCUUUUCCUGAACUUGCCUUCUCUCCCUCCCUCGAACAGGG